AACUGAGAACACAAGGAUGAAUACCAAUGGAUUCUUGAAGUAGAAUAUAUUAUACUCAAAUGAGAGACGAGGAAUAUGAAAUUAAAUAUCAAUAAUAUGUUGGAUCGUGUUCCAAGAGAAAGCUAUGGAAGUUGAGGCUUCAUAAGGAAAUAAAGGCCUGAAGAAACAGUUAGACCUGAGUAUUUUUAUGCUAGGUUUGAUGAAGAGUGGACAGUCAUGGAGGAAUAUGAUACAUUAAGGAGUGGGAGGGAAAUUUCAAGGAACCCACUAACAGGCAAGAGCCGAAAGAACUCAGCACAGAUUUCAGCUACUUCUAAUCAAUCAGAUUUCCCAAUCUGAAGAACAGAGAAAAAAUAAUGAUAAUGUUAAACACUAGUGAUUUGUGAGACAAUGUAAAGCAACCUAACAGUCACGUGAUUAGAGUCCCAGAGAAGACGACGACUAGGGUGGGGCACAAUAAAUUUUUUAAUAAGUAAUGACAAAAGUUUCCUGUAUUUGAUGAAAAUCACGAGGUUUCAGAUCUAAGAAUACAAAGAAAACACACACCUAGGCACAAUAGUCAUACUGCUGAUAACCAAAGAUAAACUGAAAAUCUUGAAAUCUGCCAGAGAAAAGGGUACAUUACAUAUAAGGCAACAGCAAUACACAUAUAGCCAAUUUCUCAUUAGAAGUAGUGGAGACUGGAAGACAAAGGAAUAACAUCAUUAA